CGUAUUACCAGCCCCUUCUCCUCAGCAUUUUCUGCACAGGGAUGAAACCCCAAGUGAGAGAGUGCAACUGUACUGAAAAUAAGCAUUGUUUUUCCAUAGAUCCCUCCCAGGCAAUGAUCAGGAUCCAGGAGAGAGGUCCACUCCAUACAAACAGGUCCUUCAGAACUUCAGUUCACACAGGUACUGCUUAAAGCAGAGCAGCACAUCAAUGAAACUCGGUUCUAUACCGACACCUUGAUCUACCAACACCACUGGGAACCACCAGCAGCAACAACCACCUUCACCUCCACCAGGGUUUAACCUGCCAGGAUUAGGCAAGCAGUGGAGGGAUUACUGCAGGCCUGGGCGAGAACAGGACAGGAUUCAAGGACUGGUCUAUACAACCCAGAGACACCCAGGGAGGGAAUUCUUGGCUCUGACAGACCGAGCAGGCUCCGUGUCUGUGCCGGGCCAGGCAGUGACAGCUUGGGAACAAGUGGCUUUCUAAUCGAAGGCCACCUCCCUUUCUCGGAAAGGAGUGUGCUGGCUUAUUCUCAGGAGAAAAUGAAAAUAAAAGCACUCUGACAUUA